rnacentral:rRNA from 1 species
GAUGAACGCUGGCGGCGUGCCUAAUACAUGCAAGUCGAGCGAACAGAUGAGGAGCUUGCUCCUCUGACGUUAGCGGCGGACGGGUGAGUAACACGUGGAUAACCUACCUAUAAGACUGGGAUAACUUCGGGAAACCGGAGCUAAUACCGGAUAAUAUAUUGAACCGCAUGGUUCAAUAGUGAAAGACGGUUUUGCUCUCACUUAUAGAUGGAUCCGCGCCGCAUUAGCUAGUUGGUAAGGUAACGGCUUACCAAGGCAACGAUGCGUAGCCGACCUGAGAGGGUGAUCGGCCACACUGGAACUGAGACACGGUCCAGACUCCUACGGGAGGCAGCAGUAGGGAAUCUUCCACAAUGGGCGAAAGCCUGACGGAGCAACGCCGCGUGAGUGAUGAAGGUCUUCGGAUCGUAAAACUCUGUUAUUAGGGAAGAACAAAUGUGUAAGUAACUAUGCACGUCUUGACGGUACCUAAUCAGAAAGCCACGGCUAACUACGUG